AUCCGCGGUGACACAUGCCUGGCACGUCCGCCCGGCCCCGUUACCAGUUCCGGGCAUGCUAAGGAUUGGCAAAGUUCUGCUUUGAGUUCGUAGCUCUGAAACGAGACGAGUCCUCGCAUUAUUUUCCACCUGCCGAAGUCUCACUCGCCGGUUCAUUUUGCACGUUUACGAUAUUUCUUUUUGAUAUAAAUCAAAUUGGAAGUCCACGCUCCCCGUCCUCGUCCUCUUCUCUCCGGGUUCCCGGUAGUUCUCCUUGCCCUUUCUCUUCCCCAACCUGGGAGCCAGAUCUGAAGGCGAUUGGAGUUGGAUCUCGCUUCCAAUUUCGCUCGCUGGGAUCAGAUCUGAUCUAGAGAUCGUACACUCCCGGAGGAAUGCGAUUGAUGGUGAGCUAGGAUUGCUGCUGUUGUCAUUGUAACAGCUGAGAGGAACCAUUGCUGUGUGGUGCAUCAAAUAUUGGCACAAUAUUUACUUAAAAUGAUGAACGGGACAAUACAAUGUAAUAAAUGUGGCUCCAAGUUGGUUGCACUUAGUCCAAGAUCUGUAUCAAGGGCUUAUGAUAAGCAUAGAAGCCAAGUGUCAUCCAAACACCGAGCUCUCAACUUCCUACUUGUUAUUGGUGAUUGUAUCUUAGUUGGUCUUCAGCCUAUACUUGUCUACAUGUCCAAGGUGGAUGGGAAGUUCAAGUUUAGUCCUAUCAGUGUGAAUUUUUUAACAGAAUUUGUCAAAAUUCUCUUUGCCGUUGUCAUGCUAAUUUUUCAGGCUAGACACCAGAAGGUUGGAGAGAAAAACCUUUUAUCAAUUGCCACUUUUGUACAGGCAGCUAGGAAUAAUGUUCUUCUGGCUGUUCCUGCUCUUCUAUAUGCAAUUAACAACUAUUUGAAAUUUAUUAUGCAGUUAUACUUUAACCCUGCAACUGUGAAGAUGUUAAGCAACAUGAAGGUUUUGGUGAUUGCUAUACUUUUAAAGAUUAUAAUGAGAAGACGUUUUUCCAUAAUUCAGUGGGAGGCACUUGCACUUUUACUGAUUGGGAUAAGUGUGAAUCAGCUUAAAUCAUUGCCAGAGGGUUCCAUGGCUAUGGGUUUUCCAGUUACAAUGAUUGCUUAUGUCUAUACUUUGGUUUUUAUUACUGUUCCAUCAAUGGCUUCGGUCUUCAAUGAAUAUGCUUUGAAAAGUCAGUUCGAUACAAGUAUAUACCUACAGAACUUAUUUCUCUAUGGCUAUGGCGCAAUAUUCAACUUUUUGGGCAUUAUAGGAACUGCCAUUUUCAAAGGGCCUAGUAGCUUCAAUAUUCUUGAAGGGCACUCAAGAGCGACCAUGUUUUUGAUAUGCAUCAAUGCAGCACAGGGAAUAUUGUCUUCCUUCUUCUUCAAAUAUGCUGACACCAUUUUGAAGAAAUAUUCAUCUACUGUCGCUACAAUUUUCACUGGAAUUGCUUCUGCUGCUUUAUUUGGCCAUACACUGACCAUGAACUUUAUAUUGGGGAUUUCUAUAGUCUUUAUAUCUAUGCACCAGUUCUUUUCUCCUAUGGCCAAAGUCAAAGAUGAGAUAGCAGUUGUAUCAUCAGAAAAGAUGGAGGCUCAACGUCUCAGGUUGAAAGAAGAUUCUUUUGUAAACAUGGCUGCUGGUACUGCUGAAGAUGUGACCCAUCGUGCUGGACAUGAUGAGAGACAAUCACUUUUGCCCAUAUGAUGCUCCAAAACCUCUCAAUGGUGUUUUAUCUUACAACCAAAAAUGCAAUCCGUCACAUUUAUAGUAUAAUUUUGGAGAUCCUCUUUUAUCUUGCAAUCUGAGCCACUAACUUGGGAAUAUAUUUUUCGGCAAAGCAAAAGCAAGGAAGUCUUCUUGUGUGAAAUGGCUGAAUGUAGCAAUCGUUACUUGAAAAUACCGAGGAUGGUAUUAAAUAGGAAGUCUUCUUUGUGUGAAAUGGCUGAAUGGACCAAAACAUUAUAAUGGUGCGGCAUUCAAGAACUAGAAUUGCCUAGAAACCAAUUUCCAUAAACUUCACUAUCGCCCAUUAUUUUCUGUUACAUUUUGCUCUGUACGCAUUUUGAUGUAUUGUUCUUUUAUCUUAGAUGUAUGUUUUCAAGCAUA